GGGAACAUUCCAAUAUACAUGGCCCUUUCCUUGACCAAAUGAUAAUCCCCUAUGGAACAGUCACCACUGACCGUCAGACAGGUUUUGUUAGAUCUUCUUGGAGGGCAGAGGUAAAAUGUGGCUGAUGGAACAGUGAACUACAAUCUGAUUUUACCCCUGGUUCCUGACAAACCUGGGGGGAUAUCACCUUGUCGCUUAUCGAGAUUUGAUCCUACAAUGAAGAGAAUGAUGUCAGUGAAAGCAUUAAGGACGUAGUUGUGCAUUUAAAUUUUGUAUGUUAUCGUUUCUUCAAUUUCAUGUCUUCCUGGAAACCUACCCGCCAAGCAAAGAUAUGAUUAAGUGAAACCCGAUAACUCCAACCACAGGAAUCAUCAAAGUACCAGGGCUAUUGUGCAAAAAGUACAGCUGUGAACAAGAGAAUUGAAAUUGGUUUUUCAGAACUUUUAAAUUGGGUGAAUUGUAAAGGAUUCCCUCCUUGGCAUUCAUUCAUUUAAGCCCCCAAUUUGAAUGGGAAACAUCGAGGAUGAUCCUAAAAGAACGAACAUUCUACUUUCUU